CCCGGUACAUGUAGUCCCGCACAGUUCUUCUUUCACAGUCAUCAUUACCAUUGCCAAGAGAAGGAGCACUUUGGCCCGGCUUUUCCGAAAAGCACUACUAGCACUGGUAUUUCUCUGUACGACCAAUCGGCAUUUCGCAACAGAAGGAGGGCUGUCGAGAGAGGGAACCCAAGUUCCUACGUGGCAUAAUAUCUUUGGAUCUCACAGGCUGUUUGCAACGAAGACAUCAUGAACGCUUCAAACUUGUGUGUCUUAUCGGUGGCUGUGAUUUGUAUGGUGCUAGCUUGGAGUGAACCUUCCAAAGCCUGUGUUUCGUGUACAUGUAGCAACGGAGUUGUCAUGUCUUGCCAAAACAUUGCCCAAAUUUCUUUGCGCUCUAACAAUUUGACGAAUCUCAGUGGCUCAGCAUUUCAGAAUAACAAGAACGUUACGGAUAUAGAUUUGAGAUUUAAUAAACUUGUUCACCUACCUGUCGGGCUGCUCAACACCACAACCAAAUUACGACAGCUG